ACAUAUCAUUCUGCAGAGACAACUGGAAGUUUUGAUCUGUGCCAAUGGAACACCCUUCACUGCGAGGGCUGUUGGAGGACAUAAGUGAAAAUAUGUGUAAGAUCAACUAUUCAAGAGCUUUAAGAAUCUGUGAGACUGACAUGCAAUAAUGUGACACAAAGAUUUUCAAGCAAUGUCAUAAGACAAUUGAAAGACGAUGCAGACAUCUUCAGCUCCUUCACUGUUGUUGUUUGGUACUGUAAGCUAAUGUUCUUCAAACGCUCAUCCUGAAUUAUUUCCACGACUAAAAUGCUAUCGACAAGGGUUCAAACUUGUUAGCCAAGUUGUUCCUCCAUCAACCUAACAGGAAGCUAGUUAAAGAGAACAACACGUAGAAACUGUGUGUAAACACCCAGUGGUUCUGUUUUCCAGAAGCUCGUGCACUUUGAAGAAUGAGAAGCAAGAGUUCCUUGAGCUGGGUGGGCAUGAAAGUUAUGUCUUCCAU